UAAAGGCUGGGUAACCUGACUCCUCCCCUCAUUUCUACUGCAAAAUAGGAGUACACUGGGGCCUCCCAGUGGAGCUGUUCUCUGCUGUUUUAAAUUACUUUCUACUCCUCCCUUUCUAACGUCCACUCCUGGACUCAUUUGUUAGAUCAAUAUAUACUGGGACUGUUGUGUUUUCUUUGAGUGUACUAGAUCUCUUUCCAGAAGAGCUUCCCUUGAUCCAGAUCUCCCUAAUUGGGAAUGAUGAUUUCACAGACUAGAGUCUCCGAUGCUGGUCAUGAUGUCAAAACUAAGUUCUGACUCAUUUAGGGAACUGGAUACUUGGGUCUCCAGAAGGGCCAAUGGGAGGGCCAUAAUUCUGUUUAUUUUCAAAUUGUCUUGUUUUCACCUUGUUAGAAUGAACUCUGGAAGCCCAGCCAGGGACAAUGCACCUUCACAGAGAUUCUGCACUAAUCUGAGUGAAGGUCUAAGGUUUGGAAUCUCCCCCUCAUGGAGAGAAGCUUUGUAUGGCUGUCAUGCUUAGACAGUGAUUCCUGCAACUUGACCUUCAGGCUGGGAGAGGUGGAGAGCCAUGCCUGUUCUCCUUCCUUGCUAUGGAAUUUGCUGACACAAUAUCUUCCGCCUGGUGCUGGGCAUAUCCUAAGAACUUACAACUUUCCUGUAUUAUCCUGUGUGAGCAGCUGUCACCUUAUUGGGGGAAAAAUGCCUGAAAAUUAGGGGGCACUUCAAGUAGAUAGCUUCUAUUUCCUAUAUUUGUCUUAUAUACAAGUAUUUGCUUUUAUCAAAAUAAUUCCAAUAAAGCAUUUUAAAGUAAAGAA
ensembl:lncRNA SNHG32 small nucleolar RNA host gene 32